AUUGAACGCUGGCGGCAUGCCUUACACAUGCAAGUCGAACGGUAACAGGUCUUCGGAUGCUGACGAGUGGCGAACGGGUGAGUAAUGCAUCGGAACGUGCCCAGUAGUGGGGGAUAGCCCGGCGAAAGCCGGAUUAAUACCGCAUACGACCUACGGGUGAAAGGGGGGGAUCGCAAGACCUCUCGCUAUUGGAGCGGCCGAUGUCAGAUUAGCUAGUUGGUGGGGUAAAGGCCUACCAAGGCAACGAUCUGUAGUUGGUCUGAGAGGACGACCAGCCACACUGGGACUGAGACACGGCCCAGACUCCUACGGGAGGCAGCAGUGGGGAAUUUUGGACAAUGGGCGCAAGCCUGAUCCAGCAAUGCCGCGUGCAGGAAGAAGGCCUUCGGGUCGUAAACUGCUUUUGUCAGGGAAGAAAUCUUCUGGGUUAAUACCCCGGGGGGAUGACGGUACCUGAAGAAUAAGCACCGGCUAACUACGUGCCAGCCGCCGCCGUAAUAC
rnacentral:rRNA from 1 species